UACGUAGGGUGCAAGCGUUAAUCGGAAUUACUGGGCGUAAAGCGUGCGCAGGCGGUCUUGUAAGACAGGUGUGAAAUCCCCGGGCUUAACCUGGGAACUGCACUUGUGACUGCAAGGCUGGAGUACGGCAGAGGGGGAUGGAAUUCCGCGUGUAGCAGUGAAAUGCGUAGAUAUGCGGAGGAACACCGAUGGCGAAGGCAAUCCCCUGGGCCUGUACUGACGCUCAUGCACGAAAGCGUGGGGAGCAAAC
rnacentral:rRNA from 1 species